UACGUAGGGUGCGAGCGUUUAAUCGGAAUUACUGGGCGUAAAGCGUGCGCAGGCGGUUUUGUAAGUCAGAUGUGAAAUCCCCGGGCUCAACCUGGGAACUGCGUUUGAAACUACAAGGCUAGAGUGUAGCAGAGGGGGGUAGAAUUCCACGUGUAGCAGUGAAAUGCGUAGAGAUGUGGAGGAAUACCAAUGGCGAAGGCAGCCCCCUGGGUUAACACUGACGCUACAUGCACGAA
rnacentral:rRNA from 1 species